rnacentral:lncRNA from 1 species
UUGUGAUGAAAUGGCUUGGCCUCCUUUGCAGCAAGUUGGCAGAUGGUUAUAUAAUUUGGCUAUAAGGUCCUUGAAAGUAGUUUAUUAGGAAAAACAUUUGAUCCUAGACUUUGUAGAACAUACAACAAUAGAAAACUAGGAUUUUGUAUACUCAUGCUCCAAUGAAGCAGAAUGUCACAGCAAUUCGGCUCAAUGGAGUAUUAGUUGUUUGAUAAUAGAUGCUGCUGCAUUGCAUGCAUGUCGUUCAGAGUUUAAUAAAGAGGUAAAUGUAGAAAUUUCAUCUAUUAAAUCACUAUGUUUUAGUUCCUUAAACUUAAAUACCAAGUAAUCGUCGUCGAGGGAAUUGAAUUGAGGUAAAGGAAGGAUGACAAGAAUUCUGCUCCAGUCCUGUUGAAGAUGUUACAUACAUACAUCCACAAAAACAAAACCACAUACAUAGUAAGUAAGUUAUUCCUUCCAGUAGCAGUUAAGUUUUCUUCUUUUUGCAUAUGAAUUUGUAAAUUUCUGUGAUUACAGUAUUAGCAGAAAAGAGUGGGGGAUUUUGAGCAACAGUUAAAUAAUCAUAUUCUGUUGUUACUUGUUACUCCUAAAGGUACAAUUCAGACUCCAGUUGUACUUUACGCAUAAUUCUUCAUUUCUGUUAGAAAAAGGGUCUUUAUCAUCUUUUUUAUAUAUAUUGAAAGAAUUGACAAUGACAUGUAGCAACAAUUCUUAUGCAUCCAUUGUAUGUGAACAAAAGAGUCUAUUAAAUGAAGAUAAGAGCAUUAACUUUUUUCUUAAUUGUUGUUUCUUUUCUACUUAAUGAGAACAUGGAAUAAUAAACUAUAUGGAUAUUUCUAUUUUAACUCAAUGCAAAAAGAAUGACUUAAUAAACACAUCUAAUGUAAUGUAAUGUGUAUACAUUUACGCUAAUCCUCAAUCAUCUGUCCCAGAUUUAGGAAUGAUUAUUUUGUUUUAUAUGGCAUUGUCUAGUAGGACUCUUCCAACUAACAAGCCAAGCCAAGCCAAGCCAAGCCAAGCCAGUUGUUGACUAUCAAACGACUGACUGUGUUGAAGUUGAAGAGAACAGGGACAUUUGGCAUAUAUAAUGAAGCAAGUAUUAGUAUGUAUCUAUUUUCCUCCGAGCAUUUUCUUUGGUUGAAAGAUAGAUACUAAAUGAUGAUUACAUUUACAUACAUACAUACAUACAUACAUGAUGUUGUUAGCAUAUGCAUUUAAAUAUCUUACUCUUGCCUGUUGGUUGGUUAUAUUGGUCAUAGUUAUGUUGGAAGCUCAAAGCUCAAAGCUCAUCUCAUGAGUUGACCAUGAGUCAAAAUUAAGUAUGGAUUACCUGUUAUGAAAAGGUAUCAUUUAAUGCUCCUAGACAAUAUUCUGUUCUGGCUUUCCAACUAACAUAAUCUAAAUGAAUAUUGUAGGUGUGUUAUAAAAAGUAAAUUAAUGGGAACAGCUUGCUUAUCCAUCUUUUGUACAAGCCAAUUUCGAUCUCUAACAUGGAAUGUGGAAGGAAGGUAUCAUUAAAUACUCCUACUUUAUUCCUGACUCGUACUUUAUUUGUUUACCUAUAAUAACAAUAUACUUAUGUUGUAGGUUUGUCAUAGUACAAUGCUGCCUAUAAUGAUGUUUUAUCAUCUCAUUCUCAUCUGGUAUGUAUAAUACCAACAUACCUUACUAUUUUUACCGGCAUCAUAUAUAAUACCUUACUUACCUUCUUUAUCUAUAAUAGCAACAUUUUUUUACCUGAAACUAUUCUAUAAGUUUCAAGUUUUAUGUUUGAGUAACCAACAUUGCCAAUAUUGGUAUUUGGUAGUGAGAAUAAAGUAUGUUGCUUGCUGUUCCCUGCAGUUAAUACUAUUUUUUUUUUUUUUUUUUUUUUUUUUUAAUUACAGAGGACCCCAACCGGAUUAAGCAACCUCCGGGCCCGUUUGUCCACCUGGCUGAUCACUCCUCCCGUAUGGACACUAGGCCAUGAAAGCUGCAUAAAAAAAGGUCACGUGUCAUUUCUUAUCAUCUGUAUGUUAUAUGCUGCUGCUUUGAUAAUAUGAAAAGGGUUAGGCUAGGCUUAAAUUGUUAAAAUAUGUUUCUUAGUCGGUAGGAAAAAAGAUUACCAUUUUGCCCUUGCAAGUUUCAAACUAACUGGCAUUGAGAGUUUUGUUUUUUUUACAAUCACUUCUAAUUACCAUUAUGCCCUUGCAAGUUUCAGCUGCCAAGAAAACUAAAUGGCACCGAGUUUUUUGUUUUCCUUCAAUAUUUAGCUUGCAGUUAAUUUUUUUCUAUAUAAUUUUGAUUUUUUGUUGCAG